CGCUUAUCCACGCUCCUGCCUUGUUCUUUGACACGAAUCCAGGUAGGCGGAUCUUGAAUCGCUUCUCUGCAGACUCAGGGCAGAUGGACAACCUUCACCUAGAUAUUUUCAUUUUUCAUGUUUGACCUUCUUGUGUCUAUAUUCAUUCCUGCGCUCGCUAGCUAUUGGCUGCUUUUUUAUGAUCUUACUGCUUGUAUUGGUGGAGUAGUGGGGGUCGAAAUACCUUCGGGUUAAUUGUGAAAUGACGAGACUGCAGUCGCUCGCCUGAUCUCCCGUAUUCUCACACAUCUCCAGCACCAUUGAACGCCUGACGACGAUCGGCAUGCACAACGCAAGGGAUGUAUUCAUCAACAGGAAUCACAGUAGCUUGUGAGCAGGUCCACUAUGUUGUUUUGGUUGAGAUUGGCCUAAAGCUGGAACAAGUGCCAAAUCAGAAGAAUGGGAAAUUCACAAUUGACAUCCACCCAAAAAGCAAUUGCGACUAGGAAACACAAGCUGCACAUGUGACCGAAAA